UACGUAGGGGGCGAGCGUUGUCCGGAAUUAUUGGGCGUAAAGAGCUCGUAGGUGGUUUGUCGCGUUGUUCGUGAAAACCGGGGGCUUAACCCUCGGCGUGCGGGCGAUACGGGCAGACUUGAGUACUGCAGGGGAGACUGGAAUUCCUGGUGUAGCGGUGGAAUGCGCAGAUAUCAGGAGGAACACCGGUGGCGAAGGCGAGUCCCUGGACAGAUCCUGACGCUGAGGCACGAAAGCCAGGGUAGCAAACGGG
rnacentral:rRNA from 1 species